GUGAAGCUGCAGGAAAGAUUACACAGCACUAGAGCAGCAGCAUGCCAUCGUCACGGCAGGCACUCAGGUCUCGGAAGGGGAGGACUCCUUUGUCACGAGGCUCUUGCGGUUCGUGGCAGAUUUGUACGACAAGGAAAAGUACAGUGACAUGUCGGUACACCUUGGAACCAGGACCAUAAGAGCCCAUCGUUUUGUUCUGGCAGCGCGUAGUGACAACUGGGGGGUAUCGUCCCUCGCAGACGUUGAUGCAUUAGAUUGGAGUUCACUGGA